rnacentral:rRNA from 1 species
GAUGAACGCUGGCGGCGUGCCUAAUACAUGCAAGUCGAGCGAACAGACGAGGAGCUUGCUCCUCCGACGUUAGCGGCGGACGGGUGAGUAACACGUGGAUAACCUACCUAUAAUACUGGGAUAACUUCGGGAAACCGGAGAUAAUACCGGAUAAUAUAUUGAACCGCAUGGUUCAAUAGUGAAAGACGGUUUUGCUGUCACUUAUAGAUGGAUCCGCGCCGCAUUAGCUAGUUGGUAAGGUAACGGCUUACCAAGGCGACGAUGCGUAGCCGACCUGAGAGGGUGAUCGGCCACACUGGAACUGAGACACGGUCCAGACUCCUACGGGAGGCAGCAGUGGGGAAUCUUCCGCAAUGGGCGAAAGCCUGACGGAGCAACGCCGCGUGAGUGAUGAAGGUCUUCGGAUCGUAAAACUCUGUUAUUAGGGAAGAACAAAUGUGUAAGUAACUAUGCACGUCUUGACGGUACCUAAUCAGAAAGCCACGGCUAACUACGUG